rnacentral:rRNA from 1 species
AGAGUUUGAUCAUGGCUCAGAUUGAACGCUAGCGGGAUGCCUUACACAUGCAAGUCGAACGGCAGCGCGGACUUCGGUCUGGCGGCGAGUGGCGAACGGGUGAGUAAUGUAUCGGAACGUGCCCAGUAGCGGGGGACAACCACUCGAAAGAGUGGCUAAUAUCGCAUACGCCUACGGGGAAAGGGGGGGAUCGAAAGACCUCUCACUAUUGGAGCGGCCGAUAUCGGAUUAGCUAGUUGGUGGGGUAAAGGCCUACCAAGGCGACGAUCCGUAGCUGGUUUGAGAGGACGACCAGCCACACUGGGACUGAGACACGGCCCAGACUCCUACGGGAGGCAGCAGUGGGGAAUUUUGGACAAUGGGGAAACCCUGAUCCAGCCAUUCCGCGUGUGCGAUGAAGGCCUUCGGGUUGUAAAGCACUUUUGGCAGGAAAGAAAUCGUGUGGGUUAAUACCCUGCGCGGAUGACGGUACCUGCAGAAUAAGCACCGGCUAACUACGUG